rnacentral:rRNA from 1 species
UACGUAGGGUGCGAGCGUUGUCCGGAAUUAUUGGGCGUAAAGGGCUCGUAGGCGGUUUGUCGCGUCGGGAGUGAAAACCCAGGGGCUUAACUCUGGGCUUGCUUUCGAUACGGGCAGACUAGAGGUAUGCAGGGGAGAACGGAAUCCUGGUGUAGCGGUGAAAUGCGCAGAUAUCAGGAGGAACACCGGUGGCGAAGGCG